UAUCUUCAAGGAACAUGGAUAUUUCUGACCAGAGGCUGGAAAUCACUGGUUUGCAGGCAAAUACCCAUUUCAUAUACCCUCAUCAAUAACUGGAAAAUCCUCCUUCUUAUAUUUUAUUAGUAUUUUUCACUCACACAAAUCUAUGUGGGGAAAUUAAUUUUUAAAAAUUUACAAGUAUUUGUUUUCUGUAUGUCUGAAACAUAUCUUGCACACUUUUUUCAUUAAAAUUCUCCUGUGUUAGAUU
rnacentral:lncRNA from 1 species